rnacentral:rRNA from 1 species
UACAGAGACUGCAAGCGUUAUUCGGAUUCACUGGGCGUAAAGGGUGCGCAGGCGGCCAAGUGUGUUAGGCGUGAAAGCCCGGGGCUUAACCCCGGAAUUGCACCUAAAACUACAUGGCUAGAGCAUUGGAGAGGGUAGCGGAAUUCACGGUGUAGCAGUGAAAUGCGUAGAUAUCGUGAGGAACACCAGAGGCGAAGGCGGCUACCUGGACAAUUGCUGACGCUCAGGCAACGAAAGCCGUGGGGAGCAAAAGGG